rnacentral:rRNA from 1 species
CCUUUGUACACACCGCCCGUCGCUACUACCGAUUGAAUGGCUUAGUGAGACCCUCGGAUUGGCGCCCUGGCCGCUGGCAACAGCAGCUGGGUGCUGAGAAGUUGGUCAAACUUGGUCAUUUAGAGG